CUCACCAACAAGAAGGGAGACGAUGGUUAGUCUAUCUGCAGCUGGUCCCGCUUACUGAGGGGAAAAGAGAAGACUUCCCCUUGUAACCUGGCUGGGAGCCUUCCCAAGCUCAGGAUCCAACAUAGCAGAGGAGGACUCCAGGAAGUCAUUCCACCACCUCUGCCUCCCUGCUGACGAAUCUGAUAUUUGGUUGAACAUUCCUACUUCAAAAUUCCAAAAUCUGAAGCAGUCCAAAAUCUGAAACUUUUGGGACACUGACAUGAAGCCACAAAUAGAAAAUUCCACACGUCUGGCAGUGUGUCUCACAGCUACCAGAAGCUUGAAGUGGUGCUGAACAUGCCUAAUGUGCUGAGACGUCUGCAGCAACUGUCCUUCC